GAUGAAGAACGCAGCGAAAUGCGAUAAGUAAUGCGAAUUGCAGAAUUCAGUGAAUCAUCGAAUCUUUGAACGCACAUUGCGCCCGCCAGUAUUCUGGCGGGCAUGCCUGUCUGAGCGUCAGUUCAACCCUCACAACCGGCUUUCUUGUUGGAUGUGGUGUUGGGGAUCGGCUGCCUUUCUUCUAGGUGGCCGGCCCCGAAAUAGAGUGGCGGUCUCGUCGUGGCCUCCUCUGCGUAGUAGCAAUAUCUCGCAGGCGGAGAGCGGCGUGGCUAUGCCGUAAAACACCCAACUCUUCUAAGGUUGACCUCAGAUCAGGUAGGAAUACCCGCUGAACUUAAGCAUAUCAAUAAGCGGAGGA
rnacentral:misc_RNA from 1 species